AGACGAGAGUAAAAUACAUUUUACGCGCGCUACUUGAAAGAAUCAAAUAUGAAGAAAUUGAUGAUACAGACCAACUUAGAAUAUGUUUACGACAAGAAGCUGCAAGAUGGGCAUGUUUUCUCGAUGACCUCAAUUGUAAGGAAGUAGCCAACAGAAAAUUAGAACAUCAUCUCUUAGAUCCUACAAAACACAAACUUUUGCCAUGGUGGAAGGAAUGGACAUAUAAAGGUUUGAUGAUAGCCACGAACGAGACUUGGCAAUUUGUGUACAAUAUAGGAUUGAACAAAUUUGACACUAAAUUUUUAGAAUACUUGGCUUGCACUGAAGAUACUGUUAUGAUUAGGAACUAUUUAACAUAUAAAAAUAUUACACAUCGAAAAUAUUAUUAUCAUCUUAACAGUUUCUUACCCAUUAUUACGAAGCAUGCAACGAAUCCAACUAUUCUGCCGUACAUAUUAGAUAUUUUUUUGGACAUAAAACCAAAAUAUGUCGAUAUAACUGUAGCAUUUACUGUUAUUAUUAAUAACAUAUAUGCCGUAAAUCUAUUUCAAGUAAAAUUUUACAUGUUUAUAUAUGUAUGUGUACAAAUCGUGAGAAUAA